CCCUUAGAUGUUCUGGGCUGCACGCGCGCUACACUGAAGCUAUCAACACGUUUUCCCUCCCUGAGAAGGGCGGGUAACCUUUUGAAUCAGCUUCGUGGUAGGGAUCGGGGCUUGCAAUUGUUACCCGUGAACCAGGAAUUCCUAGUAGACGCGAGUCAUAAGCUCGCAUCGAUUAAGUCCCUGCCCUUUGUACACACCGCCCGUCGCUACUACCGAUUGAACGUUUUAGUGAGGCAUUUGGACCGACGCAUCUCAGUUUAACCGCUGGUUUGUGUUGGAAAGACUUCCAAACUUGAGCGUUUAGAGGAAGUAAAAGUCGUAACA
rnacentral:rRNA from 1 species